AUUUGUAACGUCAAGUGCAUCCUUCAUCAUAUUAUAUAGCUAAUGCUUCUUUCUAUUCUCCACUGAGAUGCCGCUCAAUGCUCAAUGUUUGUUUUUUUAUGUCGCAUUUUUUCCCUCGUUUAUUUCCUUCAAUUUAUUCUGUAUUUUAUUUUGAACUAAUUUUUAUCUAUAUGUGUAGUAAAACAUAUAACGCUAAUAGUUAUUAAAUGAAGAUUAUAAAAACAAAAUGAGUUUUCAAAGAAAAAGAUAUGCCUCAUAUUAUGUUAAAAGAACAUUAUUUCUAAACAGACAAUGUUCAAAGUCGAAAUCAAGAACAAAAGUUACAAACUCGGUUCCGAUUGAAACAUAUAAUUCUACAGUGAAUUUGUUUGCAUCUAGAUGUCGAAUAAGGAAGACAGGCCGUACUAUGGCAAAAAUCUCAAAAUAUCAUAUAUUAGAGAGUGGAAAUACGGGACAAACAAUAUGUCGUGACAUAUUGAAUACAGAUAUUGGACUUAAGGAAUGUUACAGAGACAUUAAUCUUAAUGUUGUUACACCUAUCUUGUCACCGAUUUUAGAAUCAUUCAGAAAUCGGCAUAAUAGAUUUAAUUAUUUCGAGAAAUUGAAAUAUAUCAUAGCAAGAGAUAGCAAUAAGUAUGCAAAACAAAAAAAAUAUAAGAAUCAAAUUGAUCGACGUUCACUGAAAUCUUUCUUUAAUUUGCUAUUAGAUAAAAAUAUUCCUUCGCAAUUAUUUGGAAUAAGAAAAAAUUUUAAAUUUAUAAAAAGAAGGAUAGGCUGUCUUUUAAAUACUGUUCCAAAAAAUAAAUUCAUAACAAAAGCUUUUAAAAGGACUGUGAAAAGAAAAAAAGCUACUGGGGCAUUGUUAAACAUGCAACCAUUGUUCAACAAGUUUGAUAUUUUCAAUAUUGAGUGGUUGCAUUUAAUUGACAACGAUACAAUACGAUGGAUAAUUGUAUUAAAACUGUUACAUUGGUUCUUUGCACGAUAUAUAAUAAAAAUUUUACAUCAAUAUGUAGUAUUGUUAUCAGUUAAAAAUCAAUGGGUUUAUAUUGCAAAAGAUGAUUGGUGCAAUAUGCAAGAAGAAUUUAUAAAGAAAAAAAUUAGUACAUAUGGUCUUGUACCAUGGGUACCUGUGAAAAUAAAUGAGUUGAAAUUUAAUAUACCUGUUGGGACAUAUAGAUAUAUCCCAAGUUCUUCUGGUUUGAGAGCUUUAUUAAUAACAAAAUAUAAUACUAAAAAGGAGUUUGAUGACGUUGAUCUUGUUUUGAGAUUUUUGCAGCAAUUAUAUGUCACAUACUUUAAUGAAAGUGAAACUCCAACUAUAGCAAGCUGCAAGCAGGCAGUUUUUAAAUUUAAAGCUUCAACCAAAAAUCGAUUAUAUUAUGUGCGGUGUGAUAUACAAGAUGCAUUUGGCUCAAUUAUACAAGAAAAAUUAUAUGAUAUUAUUACUACAUGCUGUAGGAAGUUAAAAUUAAAUCACAAAAAUUAUAUUGCGGUAAGAAGAUAUACUACAUCAAAAAAUAGAAAAAACAUAGAAACAGUGCAAUUUGUAUCUCAAUAUCUGAAGAAAGCAAUAAAUAAAAAGGCAGUUAUAAACAAAAAAAAAACAAAGUUAGUUAAAGUGGGAAAACUGGUGGCUAAGAUAAACAAAUUAAUAUUUGAACAGAAGGUUAAAAUAGAUUGUCAAGUAUAUUUAAUAAAGCAUGGUGUGCCACAAGGUAUGCGGGUAUCACCAAUUUUAUCUGAUAUAUAUUAUGAAAAUAUGUUGAAAGAAAUAUUCUUUGUAUUUGCAAAUAAUGGACUUUUGUGCAGAUACGUUGAUGAUAUUUUAUAUAUCACUGAGAAUGAAUAUUAUGCAACAGAAUUUCUAAAGAUUAUCAAAAAUGGUAUACUCGAAUAUAAUGUAAAAUUUAAUCCAAUUAAAAUACAAUCAAACGUAGGAUUGCCGUACAAACCUACAAAAAUAAAAUUUUUAGGAUGGAGUACAACAUUGUGAAACCAGUUUUUCCUCGCUUUCCGUUUCUAUGGGAUGUGAAAGUCAUGAUUAUUAUUUAUUUUGAACUUUUCCUCAGAUUUUUUAUUUUCUACGAAUCUAUUGGCAAAUACACAAGACUGCAUAUUUACAAUCAAAAAUAUUUAGUACAGCGGCAUCAAAGAGAGCCCACGAUUUAGUUUCAACGAAGUAAAUUGAUUAUUGCAUCGAUCGCAACAUCGUAAAAUACGAUACCGAUGUGCGUACGAUCUUAAAAAAGAAUAAAUAAUAUUAAAAUUGUGAUACGCAAAUAUUGGCAUAUCUUAAUUAUUGUUAAUUUUGAUAAUAAGAUAUUUUUUUAUAAAUUAAGUACCAAUGAAGUGAUAAUGAAUGCUAUUUUCUUUGAUAAAUAUAUAUUGUUUAUUAAACACGCAUAAUAUGUAAAUCUUACUGUAGAGAAAGUAUCCAUGGAUAUCACGAAUAUCUUUCCUGCUGUUAGUACACAAGGUUCUCGCGUUUUCAUUAUCAUAAAGAUCAAGAUUUUCCUUGUUCGAAAUGAGGUUUGAUACCAUGCUAUAUUCAUUCUGCAAAAGAAAAGAUGUUUCUUAUAUCUAAGAAUAUUUUUAUACGCACACAUGUACGAAGUUAAAGUUAAUUUUAAACAAAAUUUCAUAUUUUUUUCAUAUUUAGUUUCCAAAUUAACAGACAAACUCAAUUCAUUUUAUUAAAUAUAAUAAGUUCUUGAGUUUAUUAUAAAAUUUAUAAUUAUUAUUUUACACACAUUAAUAAAUAAAUAUAUAUAAUGUCCUAAAAAAA